UGAAGCCUGUGGAAAGAGCUGCCAGAAGGAUGACAGGAGCUGUGACCUUUCAGCCCAGGGUGCAGUGAGCCAGAGUCCCCGAGAUGGGGAGAUCUGCGUGAGGCCUGGGUUGGACACAGCAGGGAGGUCGGAGAUGUCCAGCCUGCGGAGGUUCCUGAGAGGAGGCAGCAAGGGAGGUUAACAUCAGAGAAAAAGGCGAGAAUGCCAGAAUCUUCACUGACUGCCAGAAGUUGAGACCCACUCGGAUGUGUGCACCGUCUCUGAGGAACGUGCCGGAGGAAGGUGCUCAGACCAGGAGAACAUUUUAACUGGAGCCAAGCGAGGGGUAGGUGGGUGCAUGAGCUACAUUUUCCAGAGAAGAGGAAAAAGGGGAGGAAAAAACAGAGGAAGAGGGAGGGAAGGAGGAGAAAGGAAGGAAAAGAACAGCGAUGUUUACUGAACUCCUGGGCUGUAUCGGGCCCGUGCCACACACUUCAUGGCAGUAAGUCUCUUGAGUCUUUCCAGCAAACCUUGCAGGUUCAUACAACCACUGCCCCGUUUUACAAGUGACAGAGCAGGAGCUCAGGAACAAGGUCUGAGCGGAGCCAGCAGGGACAGAGCCCAGGGUUCAUGAAAAGUCCCAAGGGCCUCUGGCUCAGUGCUCCACAGCCUCCCCCACCCCACG